GCUACGUCCGGGCCAGCGGCGGUGGGAAGACGGGGGGUGCAAGCGUUAAUCGGGAUUACUGGGCGUAAAGCGUGCGCAGGCGGCUUAUUAAGUCAGAUGUGAAAUCCCUAGGCUCAACCUAGGAACUGCAUUUGAAACUAAUAAACUAGAGUAUCGUAGAGGGAGGUAGAAUUCCAGGUGUAGCGGUGAAAUGCGUAGAUAUCUGGAGGAAUACCAGUGGCGAAGGCGACCUCCUGGACGAAAACUGACGCUCAAGCACGAAAGCAUGGGGAGCAAACAGGAUUAGAUACCCGGGUAGUC
rnacentral:rRNA from 1 species